CUGUGGGAUCAGAAGCGAAGAAUCUAAACUGACUGUGUCCUGCAGAUGAUUCACUAUCACUGUUGUGGGUCUGCAUUGGAAGGCUGAAGAAACUGGAGACCAAGGUCUAAAGGAAAUGAACUUGUGUUUCUACUGUGAUGAAGCUCUGACCUAUGUGAGAGAAGGAUUUGGAGCCAGUUCCAAGAGCACCACAAACAUUCAAAUCAGAAGCAUCAUGAAAAGGGAGGAGAAGCUGCACUAUCUUGGUUCUUUGGGGCUAUAAGAGACAAAAGGCAGGCAGUGCUGUGAUUUGGAAGAGGACAGGCUGGACUUGGGCACAGCAACACACCGUUUACCUUCAGUUGGGAAUGGUAGUUUUGCAGUUCGCUAGUGAACAGUUAUUGAAUGCCCCCUUUCAUUUGGAGAGAUCUUUCCUGUAGAACAGGAUAAAAACUAACAUUGUAGAUUAUCAAGAUCUGCUGAGGUGAAAGGAAAGAGGACACCUGGAAGAUACAGGUGAACAGGAUUCGAACACACAGCCUACCAAGAAGGGUUAAUAAUGACAGAGAACUGCAUGGUGUUCUCAAGAGGAUCCAAUAAGAUAUGCUUACAAUUAAAUAAGAAACCAGGCCCUGGAGGAUGAGCUAAGACAAAUAGAAUUGUGUACAAAUAAAAAUAAAUGAGGUCAAAGUUGAGUAGAACCCCAAAAAAAGCAACAGGAG
rnacentral:lncRNA from 1 species